GACGAACGCUGGCGGCGUGCUUAACACAUGCAAGUCGAACGGAAAGGCCCUGCUUUUGUGGGGUGCUCGAGUGGCGAACGGGUGAGUAACAUGUGAGUAACCUGCCCUUGACUUUGGGAUAACUUCAGGAAACUGGGGCUAAUACCGGAUAGGAGCUCCUGCUGCAUGGUGGGGGUUGGAAAGUUUCGGCGGUUGGGGAUGGACUCAGGGCUUAGCAGCUUGUUGGUGGGGUAGUGGCUUACCAAGGCGUUGAUGGGUAGCCGACCUGAGAGGGUGAUCAGUCACAAUGGAACUGAGACACGGUCUAGAAUCCUACGGGAGGCAGGAGUGGGGACGAGUGGACAAUGGGCGAAAGCCUGAGCCAGGCCUGACGCGUGUGUGAAGAUGGUCUGCGGAUUGUAAAGAACUGGAAGUUGGGAGGAAGGGCAGUAAGCUAAUAACUUGCUGUUUUGAAGUUACAAAAAGAAUAAGCACCGGCUAACUUGGUG
rnacentral:rRNA from 1 species